rnacentral:rRNA from 1 species
AUUGAACGCUGGCGGCAGGCCUAACACAUGCAAGUCGAACGAGUGGCGGACGGGUGAGUAAUGUCUGGGAAACUGCCCGAUGGAGGGGGAUAACUACUGGAAACGGUAGCUAAUACCGCAUACCAUCGGAUGUGCCCAGAUGGGAUUAGCUAGUAGGUGGAGUAACGGCGCACCUAGGCGACGAUCCCUAGCUGGUCGGAGAUGAUGACCAGCCACCAUGGAACUGGUACACGGUCCAUACUCCUACGGGAGGCAGCAGUGGGGAAUAUUGCACAAUGGGCUCAAGCCUGAUACAGCCAUGCCGCGUGUAUGAAGAAGGCCUUCUGGUUUUAAAGUACUUUCAGCGGGGAGGCGUUACCCGCAGAAGAACCACCGGCUAACUCCGUGCAAGCAGCCGCGGUAAUAC